rnacentral:rRNA from 1 species
AGAGCGAACGCUGGCGGCAGGCCUAACACAUGCAAGUCGAGCGCCCGUAGCAAUACGGGAGCGGCAGACGGGAUAGUAACACGUGGGAACGCGCCCUUCGGUUCGGAAUAACUCAGGGAAACUUGAGCUAAUACCGGAUACGCCCUUACGGGGAAAGAUUUAUUGCCGAAGGAACGGCCCGCGUCCGAUUAGCUAGUUGGUGAGGUAAUGGCUCACCAAGGCGACGAUCGGUAGCUGGUCUGAGAGGAUGACCAGCAUCACUGGGACUGAGACACGGCCCAGACUCCUACGGGAGGCAGCAGUGGGGAAUAUUGGACAAUGGGCGCAAGCCUGAUCCAGCCAUGCCGCGUGGAUGAUGAAGGCCCUAGGGUUGUAAAGUCCGUUUUAACGGGGAAGAUAAUGACGGUACCCGUAGAAUAAGCCCCGGCUAACUUCGUGCCAGCAGCCGC